UGGGGAAUAUUGGACAAUGGGGGGAACCCUGAUCCAGCCAUGCCGCGUGUGUGAAGAAGGCCUUAUGGUUGUAAGGCACUUUAAGCGAGGAGGAGGGUACUGGUAUUAAUACUACCAGGUACUGGACGUUACUCGCAGAAUAAGCACCGGCUAACUCUGUGCCAGCAGCCGCGGUAAUACAGAGGGUGCGAGCGUUAAUCGGAUUUACUGGGCGUAAAGCGUGCGUAGGCGGCUAAUUGAGUCGGAUGUGAAAUCCCCGAGCUUAACUUGGGAAUUGCAUUCGAUACUGGUUAGCUAGAGUGUGGGAGAGGAUGGUAGAAGUCCAGGUGUAGCGGUGAAAUGCGUAGAGAUCUGGAGGAAUACCGAUGGCGAAGGCAGCCAUCUGGCCUAACACUGACGCUGAGGUACGAAAGCAUGGGGAGCAAACAGG
rnacentral:rRNA from 1 species